rnacentral:misc_RNA from 1 species
GAUCUUGAUCCAUAUCUACACCUCUGUACAAAUUGAAAAUUAUAUCUUAAGCAUCCUAUAGAAACAAAGAUAUAAAUCUCCAUAAUUGAAUUUUGAACCUUUCAAUAUGANNNGGAGUCCAAUACUCUGCAUGUGAGAGAUGUUAAGACGCUUUGCGUCAACUCUCAAAAUUUACAACUCAUCAAGAACUCGUUCAUAUUGCAUCCUUGGGCACAUUACCCAC